rnacentral:rRNA from 1 species
UACAGAGGGUGCGAGCGUUAAUCGGAAUUACUGGGCGUAAAGGGUGCGUAGGUGGUUAGGUAAGUCUGAUGUGAAAGUCCUGAGCUCAACUUGGGGAUUGCGUCAGAUACUGUUUGACUAGAGUACUGUAGAGGGAAGUGGAAUUUCCGGUGUAGCGGUGAAAUGCGUAGAUAUCGGAAGGAACAUCAGUGGCGAAGGCGAUUUUCUGGACAGUUACUGACACUGAGGCACGAAAGCAUGGGGAGCAAACAGG